rnacentral:rRNA from 1 species
AGAGUUUGAUCAUGGCUCAGGACGAACGCUGGCGGCGUGCUUAACACAUGCAAGUCGAACGGAAAGGCCCUUCGGGGUGCUCGAGUGGCGAACGGGUGAGUAACACGUGGGUGAUCUGCCCUGCACUUUGGGAUAAGCCUGGGAAACUGGGUCUAAUACCGGAUAGGACUCCGAGAUGCAUGUCUUGGGGUGGAAAGCUUUUGCGGUGUGGGAUGGGCCCGCGGCCUAUCAGCUUGUUGGUGGGGUGAUGGCCUACCAAGGCGACGACGGGUAGCCGGCCUGAGAGGGUGUCCGGCCACACUGGGACUGAGAUACGGCCCAGACUCCUACGGGAGGCAGCAGUGGGGAAUAUUGCACAAUGGGCGCAAGCCUGAUGCAGCGACGCCGCGUGAGGGAUGACGGCCUUCGGGUUGUAAACCUCUUUCAGUACCGACGAAGCGUAAGUGACGGUAGGUACAGAAGAAGCACCGGCCAACUACGUGCCAGCAGCCGCGGUA